UCCGAAAGUAGUGGCGAGCGAAAUCGGAUGAGCCUUUACGUUUUAGCGCGCAGGAUAGUCGAACGGAAUGGAAAGUCCGGCCGUAGCAGGUGAUAGCCCUGUAGACGAAAUUCUGUGUGUGGAACUAAGCGUAAGACAAGUAGGGCGGGACACGUGAAAUCCUGUUUGAAGAUGGGGGGACCAUCCUCCAAGGCUAAAUACUCGUGAUCGACCGAUAGUGAACCAGUACCGUGAGGGAAAGGCGAAAAGAACCCCGGAAGGGGAGUGAAAUAGAUCCUGAAACCGUAUGCAUACAAACAGUAGGAGCCUCCUUGUGGGGUGACUGCGUACCUUUUGUAUAAUGGGUCAGCGACUUACAUUCAGUGGCAAGGUUAACCGAAUAGGGAAGCCGUAGCGAAAGCGAGUCCGAAUAGGGCGAAUUAGUCGCUGGGUGUAGACCCGAAACCAGAUGAUCUAUCCAUGGCCAGGUUGAAGGCACGGUAACACGUGCUGGAGGACCGAACCCACUAAUGUUGAAAAAUUAGGGGAUGAGCUGUGGAUAGGGGUGAAAGGCUAAACAAAUCUGGAAAUAGCUGGUUCUCUCCGAAAACUAUUUAGGUAGUGCCUCAAGUAUUACUGCGGGGGGUAGAGCACUGUUAUAGCUAGGGGGUCAUGGCGACUUACCAAACUAUGGCAAACUCCGAAUACCCGCAAGUACAGCUUGGGAGACAGAGCACCGGGUGCUAACGUCCGGACUCAAGAGGGAAACAA
rnacentral:rRNA from 1 species